AACACAAACAAUAGAGUGAAGUUAGAUGAAGGUGUAGAUGGU
rnacentral:guide_RNA from 1 species